rnacentral:rRNA from 1 species
UACAGAGGUCUCAAGCGUUGUUCGGAUUCAUUGGGCGUAAAGGGUGCGUAGGCGGGCAGGUAAGUCAGUGGUGAAAUCUCCGGGCUUAACCCGGAACUGCCGUUGAUACUAUCUGUCUUGAAUAUCGUGGAGGUAAGCGGAAUAUGUCAUGUAGCGGUGAAAUGCUUAGAUAUGACAUAGAACACCCAUGCGAAGGCAGCUUACUACACGAUCAUUGACGCUGAGGCACGAAAGCGUGGGGAGCAAACAGG